GCUACUUCAAAAGUGUGCUUAGGGAAACCUGAAAAUGUUUUAUCUCAAAAAAAUAGAAAACGCAGAGGAAGCAUGAGCUCUGUAUGAGCCUCAAUAAAAUUACUUUCUUUCAUGGUUUUACCAAGCCCCAAUACUCAUAUUUUAAGCAUAGCUUUGGCUUUUCUCUCUAACUCAGCCUACCUAAACUUCAGCUGAUUAUUUCAUGUUUACAAGAAAAUACUAUGGCUGCCAUGACAUGCUUAGUUCAACUUAUUCUAUCCUUGGUUAAUUUUCCUUUCUUCCUCCAUGCAGUCGAAACUGAUUAUGCCUCUGCUGAACUACCAAACACCUGGAGAAACAAUGAUUUCAUAUCAAGGGGAAGUGUAGACUUUGUUGAUGGUUCAACUAUUAGAUCUAUACUUCUCAAUACCAGCAACCCAGCAAAUUUCCCAGCUUUCGGGUGUGGAUUUUAUGGUCGUAAAACCACUAAUUCCUUCUAUUUUGCUGUUUUUGCAGUCGAAGCAACAAGUGAUUCUACAAUUAUUGAGUCAGGCUCUCCACAAAUACUCUGGAUAGCCAACAGAGACAAUCCUGUCAAGGACAAUGCCACGCUUGAGUUCACUGGAGAUGGAAAUUUGGUGCUAACUGAUGCUGAUGGUAUGUUUAUAUGGUCCUCGAAUACAUCAGAUCGUUCAGUUAAUUAUAUGAACAUAACAGGAAAUGGGACUCUUAUGCUUGUUGAAUUCAACGGUCUGGAGCUUUUUAGCACCACCGUUUGGAGCUCUUUGGAUUAUCCUAUAAAUACAUGGCUCCCAGGUCAAACAAUAGAAGAAGGGCAAAGGCUGAUCGCCAGUGUGUCUGCUUCAAAUUGGACGCCGGGUCAGUUUUUCUUGUCUUUUGCAAACGACAAUCUAUACGCUUUUAUUCAGUCCAGUCCCCCACAGGUGUACCUUCAAGUCUUUAAUGAAGGUGCUGAAUCUAAGCAAUUUAGGACUGGAAGGCUUGAACUUGAAUAUACAAGACAGACAAUUGCAGCACGUUUCACUUCUGAAACAGAAAAAUUUCAGUUUCUGAGAUUAGAUACAGAUGGACAUUUGAGAGUCUACCAAUGGGAUCGAGCAAAUGCGUCGGAAGUUGCUGACAUCUUGACAGACAAUCGCGGCAUAUGUGCAUAUCCAACUGUUUGUGGAAAGUAUGGGAUAUGCUCAAACGGACAAUGUAGUUGUCCUGUAGGAAAUAAUGGAGACACUAGCUAUUUCCAGCAGUUGAAUUCCAGUGCUGGAUGCAGACAAGCCACCCCUCUGUCGUGCCAAUCUACUCAUCUUCACUCAUUUAUAGAACUUCCUAACGUUUCUUAUUUUAGUUUUGUGGCAGCUAUUUCCGAUACAGACAUUGAGAGUUGCAAACAUGCUUGUUUAGAGAAUUGUUCCUGCAAAGCAGCUUUCUUUCACUACAAUUCUAAUAACUUGAGUGGCAACUGCUCCUUACCAUCUCAAAUUUUUUCAUUGAUGAGUACUUCACCAGUGUUAGAUCGUUACAACUCUACAUCCUUCAUAAAGGUGCAGAGAUCAACAUUGGUUCCAGCAAGCCCUGCAUCACCAAGUCCAAGUCCACCAUUGGCAAGAAAGAAAUCAAUUCGGAUUGAAUUAAUCAUAGGACCUCUAGUUGCAGCUUUAAUAUUCACAUUUAACCUAAUUGGGGCAUCUGUUCACAUCCUAAGGAAGCGGGGAUCUAUAGAGGAAGAAGGAAGAAGGAAAACUGAAGAUGACUGGGAGAAGUCAUUAAAUCUUGCAACAAAUUUGCCCACAAGAUUCAAUUAUGAAGAUCUGAGGUCUGCGACAGAAAAUUUCAAUAAAAGGAUUGGGGGAGGAGGAUUUGGAUCAGUGUUUGAAGGGACUUUGGGUGAUGGUACAAAAAUUGCAGUAAAGCGCUUGGAUCGCUUGGGUCAAGGUAGGAAAGAGUUUUUAGCGGAGGUGAAGACAAUCGGCAGCAUACACCAUGUCAACUUGGUGAGAUUAAUAGGCUUCUGCAUUGGAAAUUCAAAUAGGAUUUUGGUUUAUGAGCACAUGAAUAACGGGUCAUUGGAUAAGUGGAUCUUCCACAAAAAUCCAGCUACAACACUCAAAUGGGAAAUCAGGAAGAACAUCAUCCUUGAUAUUGCCAAAGGACUAGCAUAUCUGCAUGAGGAUUGUCGAAUGAGAAUAGCUCAUUUAGAUGUUAAGCCUGAAAACAUUCUUCUAGAUGGCAGCUUUAAUGCCAAGUUAUCAGAUUUUGGUUUGGCAAGGCCAAUUGACAGGAGCCAAAGCCAUGUCAUAACUCAAAUGCGAGGAACGAGAGGAUAUCUGGCCCCUGAAUGGUUAAGCAGAAGGAUAACAGAAAAGGUUGAUGUGUAUAGCUUUGGUGUUGUCAUAUUGGAAAUUGUUUGUGGAAGAAGAAAUCUGGAUUUCUCUCAGCCUGAUGAAGAUGACUAUUUACUUUUGCCCGUACUGAAACAAAAGGCAGAACAGAAUCAACUUUUCGACAUGGCCGAUAAUUGUAUUGAAGGCAUACAACAAAAUGCAGAAGAAGUUGUCAAGAUGAUAAGGAUUGCCAUUUGGUGCUUGCAAAGUGAUUAUAAUAAAAGGCCUUCAAUGUCCAUGGUGUUGAAGGUUUUGGAAGGUCUACUGACCAUGGAACCUAUUUCUGAUUAUAGCUUUUUAACUUCAACGCUAGUGGAAGCUCCAGCUGAAGUGGUUAUGGUACCUUCAAGUCCACAGCCAGCAUCCAUUCUAUCUGGACCCAGGUGACGAAACAAGGACAGAGUAGAAAUAUAUUCCUGCAUAUCAACUAUGGGCUGAAAUUAAUUUUGCACGAAAUUUGCCACUGCUGGGCUGCAUGUCACACGUGCCAGGCAAAAGUCAAACUGGUGCCCAUACACAGCGAAAGCUGUGCCAUUGGUUUUUGGUAGCAUGAAUGUCCAAUCCUGUAAACUUUUUCCAGUGGGCUUUUCAUGGAUAAAUUUAAGGCAAUUUGCCGCCAAUGAAACCAAAGUAAACCUGUAUUUCUGAUUGUUAUAAAAAAUAUAUACGUGUGAAAAUUCAUUUGCCAUUGCUGAUGGACUUGCCUCAAGUAUGAAUAUCUAGACUAUAGUGCAUGAGGUGAGUUAGUUGUGGACUGGUAGUUCCUUUUCACUCUUUUUUUUGUGCCUUUAAUUUGAACCGUCAACAUGUAAGUCACGGCCAUUGUUCAAACAAAAUGCAGCCAUCUGACGAGGAUGAUUGAGAUUUGUAGUUGAUGAAUCUUAUUCUGUUGUUAGGAUUUUCUAAACAAUGAGAAGUUUUCAGGUUUUG